AAACUUAAAGGAAUUGACGGAAAGGCACCACCAGGCGUGGAGCUUGCGGCUCAAUUUGACUCAACACGGGAAAUCUCACCAGACCCGAACAUCUCUAACGAUUGACAGAUUGAAAGCUCUUUCUUAAUGAAGUGGAUGGUGGUGCAUGGCCGUUCUUAGUUGGUGGAGUGAUUUGUCUGGUUAAUUCCGAUAACGAACGAGACUCUGUCCUGCUAAAUAGUGUCUGCUUCUCUUUUGAGCAGACAAUUCUUCUUAGAGGGACUGGCGACUCUUAGUCGCACGAGAUUGAGCAAUAACAGGUCUGUGAUGCCCUUAG
rnacentral:rRNA from 1 species